GACGAACGCUGGCGGCGUGCCUAAUACAUGCAAGUAGAACGCCGAAGCGAGGAGCUUGCUCUUCUUGGAUGAGUUGCGAACGGGUGAGUAACGCGUAGGUAACCUGCCUUGUAGCGGGGGAUAACUAUUGGAAACGAUAGCUAAUACCGCAUAACAAUGGAUGACACAUGUCAUUUAUUUGAAAGGGGCAAUUGCUCCACUACAAGAUGGACCUGCGUUGUAUUAGCUAGUAGGUGAGGUAAUGGCUCACCUAGGCGACGAUACAUAGCCGACCUGAGAGGGUGAUCGGCCAAACUGGGACUGAGACACGGCCCAGAAUCCCACGGGAGGCAGCAGUAGGGAAUCUUCAGCAAUGGGGGCAACCCUGACCGAGCAACGCCGCGUGAGUGAAGAAGGUUUUCGGAUCGUAAAGCUCUGUUGUAAGUCAAGAACGGGUGUGAGAGUGGAAAGUUCACACUGUGACGGUAGCUUACCAGAAAGGGACGGCUAACUACGUG
rnacentral:rRNA from 1 species